rnacentral:rRNA from 1 species
AAUAUCAACUAAGCGGAAGGAACAUU